UACGUAGGGUGCGAGCGUUAAUCGGAAUUACUGGGCGUAAAGCGUGCGCAGGCGGUUCGUUGUGUCUGUGGUGAAAGCCCCGGGCUUAACCUGGGAAUGGCCAUGGAAACUGGCGAGCUGGAGUGUGGCAGAGGGGGGUGGGAAUUCCGCGUGUAGCAGUGAAAUGCGUAGAGAUGCGGAGGAACACCGAUGGCGAAGGCAGCCCCCUGGGUUGACACUGACGCUCAGGCACGAAAGCGUGGGGAGCAAACAGG
rnacentral:rRNA from 1 species